rnacentral:rRNA from 1 species
GAUGAACGCUGGCGGCGUGCCUAAUACAUGCAAGUCGAGCGAACGGACGAGAAGCUUGCUUCUCUGAUGUUAGCGGCGGACGGGUGAGUAACACGUGGAUAACCUACCUAUAAGACUGGGAUAACUUCGGGAAACCGGAGCUAAUACCGGAUAAUAUUUUGAACCGCAUGGUUCAAAAGUGAAAGACGGUCUUGCUGUCACUUAUAGAUGGAUCCGCGCUGCAUUAGCUAGUUGGUAAGGUAACGGCUUACUAAGGCAACGAUGCAUAGCCGACCUGAGAGGGUGAUCGGCCACACUGGAACUGAGACACGGUCCAGACUCCUACGGGAGGCAGCAGUAGGGAAUCUUCCGCAAUGGGCGAAAGCCUGACGGAGCAACGCCGCGUGAGUGAUGAAGGUCUUCGGAUCGUAAAACUCUGUUAUUAGGGAAGAACAUAUGUGUAAGUAACUGUGCACAUCUUGACGGUACCUAAUCAAAAAGCCACGGCUAACUACGUG